rnacentral:rRNA from 1 species
CCUACGGGAGGCAGCAGUGAGGAAUAUUGGUCAAUGGUCGGGAGACUGAACCAGCCAAGCCGCGUGAGGGAGGAAGGUACAGUGUAUUGUAAACUUCUUUUGUCAGGGAAUAAAGACUUGGACGCGUCCCCGUUUGAAUGUACCCUAUGAAUAAGCAUCGGCUAACUCCGUGCCAGCAGCCGCGGUAAUACGGAGGAUGCGAGCGUUAUCCGGAUUUAUUGGGUUUAAAGGGUGCGUAGGGGGGUUUUUAAGUCAGCGGUGAAAGUCCGGGGCUCAACCACGGCCUCGCAGUUGAAACUGGAAGACUGGAGUGGGUGAGAGGAAGGCGGAAUGCGGGGUGUAGCGGUGAAAUGCAUAGAUAUCGCGAAGAACUCCGAUUGCGAAGGCAGCUUACCGGGUCCUAACUGACGCUGAGGCACGAAAGCGUGGGUAUCAAACAGGAUUAGAUACCCGGGUAGUC